UAGUUUACAGAGGGAGCAGCUGAUUAGUGGAUUAUGCUAAAAAAUGAUGUUUCCAGAGUGGAGUACAUAACGGGAAGGGGGCAACUUGUAUACGAUCAGGGCUUGGGAUGCGAUGGUACGAUCAAUACAUCUGAGCCAUCUAAUGGCGAUCCUAUGGUACAGAUCGAGCAAGGUGGAGAGGUGCUACACAUUUUGCACGAAACACCUCGACGUGCCGAAAUAUAGCAGUCCGAGCUCCUCUCACCACACGACUCAACAGUCAACAGCAAAAUCAAGCCAUUCUCGGCACGAGCAGCCGGAGUGCAUCGCCGUGAGCGGUGAGCCGCUCCGACGUGCGCCGCUGACCUCGCUGGAUCAACCAUGCCCGAGCCUCACAGCCACCCAGAUCCACCCGUCCCAAUCCUUCAUGUCGCUGGAUCUUAUGGUUCCAAGGCACACUGCCUUCGUCUCCGAUCAUCACGAGACCCGCCGCCGCCAUCCCGUGCAAUCCAACUGCUAGAAAGCGUCGCCCCUCUUCCAAGACGUCCUCGAGUUCCUGCCACCCGCAUCCGUUGGAUAUGGCGUCCCGGUACCCUCGGCUGCGGAUCUGGCCGCAACUCUGUUGUUCCCCUUUUGCCAGAUUCAUUUCUUGGGCGGAUGGCGUGGUUUGUGUGUUAAUUCAUGUCUUGAUAUGUAGAGCAGAUGCUCCUCUCGUCCAAUCCUAUGUUUUUGUUGUUCACUAAUCUUAUGCAAGCAAGCUUCUUUGCUUGUACACCCAAUCAUCUCUUUUCGGAUGUACGUGUAUUCAUCAAUUUGUCCGUUUCAAAAAAAAGUAUUCAUCAGUUUGUAAGCCAAUCUUCUUUCUGGUGCAUUUUAUCUAGCAGAAGUUUCUUUUUGGGCAAAAAAGAUCUUUUUUAGGCAAGAACACUUAGAUGAUGUUGUUCAGUACAAUUUUCAGCUUUUGAAAACAAGCACGGUGGACUUCCUCGACAGUUAUUACAAGUCCAUCAAGCUAGCUGGUCGGUUUUCGGUGGAUGAAAUUCUGAAAGGAAAAAUGCCAUCUUCGGCGAUUCCAACAGCUCUUCCCAGGAAAGAAAAUAUACUACUAUCUUGGCCGGCGCCGGGUCCGGGUUAUGUUGCCCUAACUGUCGAUGGAUCUUUCCAGGCAGCAGAUAGCUCGGCGGCCGCCGGAAUGGUGUUGCGCGACCAUCAAGGACAGAUCAUCUUUGCAGCAUACCGAGUCCUGUUCCACUGUAACGACGCUCUGGAGGCUGAACUUCACGCGCUCAUGCAGGGUAUGGCCUUGGCCAUCCAACACUCGGAUCUUCCAGUCGUCGUCCAGUCGGAUUCUGUCAUUUGGUUCUAGAGAUUAAGGAGUUGAUGAGUAAUAGGGAGUUUGUACCUUUGAAAAUCUGUCGUUCUCAGAAUAGAGUUGCCGAUCGGUUGGCCAAUUAUAGCCGAUCCGAGCGGGCUACAGCGGUGUGGUUGCGUUCGGUUCCACCUUGUAUUGAGGAUUUGUGGCCUCUCGACUGUAACACUAUGACAUUUGAAUAAAACUCCCUUUACUCUCA